rnacentral:ncRNA from 1 species
GCGACCCAGGUCAGGCGGGAUACCGUGGUUUAGAUAUCAUAGCGGAGGAAAGAAUUACUAGGAUUCCUUAGUAACGGCGAGCGAACGGGAAGCCAGCUUGAAAUCGGGCGGCUUCGUCGUCGAUUGUAGUUGGGAGCGUCCUCAGCGGCGGACGGGCCAGUCCUGGAGGGGGCGCGGGAGGGUGAGGCCCGUCGUGCCGGACCUGUCGCACCGAGGCGCUGUUGCGAGUCGGGUUGUUUGGGAUGCAGCCCAAUAGGGCGGUAAUUCGUCCAGGCUAAUAUGGGUGAGACGAUAGCAACAGUACGCGAGGGAAGAUGAAAGGACUUUGAAGAGAGUCAAGAGUGCUUGAAUUGUCGGGAGGGAGCGAAUGGGGGCGGCGAUGGUCCGGUCGGAUGUGGACGGUGUAGUCGGUCGCCGAUCGGUCGGGACGUGGACCGGUGCGGAUUGGUACGGCGGCCAAGCCAGGCUGUUGAUAUGCUGUGGAGAUGCGUUGUGCGAUGUGGUUGGCAGCGCGCGCGUCACGGCGUGCUUCGGACUGCGUGUCUGGCACGGCUGCGGGACCAUUCGGCCGUCUUGAAACGGACAAGGAGUCUGAAUGUGUGCGAGUCAAGGGUGAGUAACCGCAAGGCGAGGAAGUGAUUGGCGGGAUCCCUGUGGGGUGCACGCGACGACCUUGAUUUCUGAGAGGGUUCGGUGUGAGAUGCUGUCGGGACCGAAGAUGGUGAACUAUGCUGAGCGGGGCGAGCAGAGGAACUUGGUGGAGGCCGCAGCGAUAUGAGUGCAAUCGUUCGUUGACUUGGGUAUAGGGGCGAAGAUAAUCGACGUUAGUAGCUGGUUCCUCCGAGUUUCCUCAGGAUAGUGGAGCCGGGUGCGAGUUCUAUCGGGUAAGCGAAUGAUUAGAGGAUCGGGGGCGCACGCCUCGACUAUUCUCAACUUUAAUAGGUAGGACGGCGCGGUGCUUUGUUGAGCGCGCACGGAUCGAGGCUCAGUGGGCAUUUUUGGUAGCGAACUGGCGAUGCGGGAUGAACGGAAGCGGGUUACGGUGCCAAUGCGCGCUACUAGAACCAAAGGGUGUUGGUCGAUUAAGACAGCGGCGGUGGUCAUGGAAGUCGAAAUCGCUAAGGAGUGUGUAAACUCACUGCCGAUCACUAGCCCGAAAUGGAUGGCGCUUAGCGCGCGACUCACCGGCGUCGAGGCAAGUGCAGGCCCGAUGAGUGGAGGGGCGGCGGUCGUGCAAACUUGGGCGUGAGCCGGGCGGAGCGGGUCGGUGCGGAUCUUGGUGGUAGUAGCAAUAUUCAAUGGAACUUUGAGGCGAAGAGGGGAAGGUUCCAUGUGAACGGCACUUGCACAUGGGUUAGUCGAUCCUAAGGAGGGGAAGCGUCAGAUAGCGUGUUUCACGCGAGCUUCGAAAGGGAAUCGG